rnacentral:rRNA from 1 species
AACGAACGCUGGCGGCAUGGCUAAAACAUGCAAGUCGUACGCGAAAUCCCGGCUUGCCGGGAGAUUAGAGUGGCGAAAGGGCGAGGAAUACAUGGGUAACGUACCCCCUGCACAGGGAUAGCCCCGAGAAAUCGGGGGUAAUACCUGAGAGACCACGGUGUCAUAUGGCGCAGCGGUCAAAGGGUGGGGCUCCCUUCGGGGACCUGCCGGCUGGGGAGCGGCCCAUGUCCUAUCAGCUUGUUGGUGAGGUAACGGCCCACCAAGGCGAUGACGGGUAGCGGGACUGAGAGGUUGGCCCGCCGCAUUGGGACUGAGACACUGCCCAGACUCCUACGGGAGGCUGCAGUAACGAAUAUUGGACAAUGAGCGCAAGCUUGAUCCAGCAAUGCCGCGUGUGGGAAGAAGCUCUUCGGGGUGUAAACCACUGUCAGGGAUUACCAAGCGAUGGGGGUUAAUAGCCCCCAAAGUUGAGGCGUCCCACAGGAAGCCACGGCUAACUUCGUGCCAGCAGCCGCGGUAAGACGAAGGUGGCUAGCGUUGUUCGGAAUCACUGGGCUUAAAGAGCACGUAGGCGGCUCAUCAAGCGUCUUGUGAAAUCCCUCGGCUCAACCGAGGAAUUGCUUGGCGAACUGAUGGACUUGAGGCAGGCAGGGGCGAGUGGAACUCUUGGUGGAGCGGUGGAAUGCGUAGAUAUCAAGAGGAACGCCAGAGGCGAAGGCGACUCGCUGGGCCUGCAGGGUCCCAACGCGAUUUAUCGCGUUGGGAUGCCCUCCUGACGCUGAGGUGCGAAAGCCAGGGGAGCGAACGGGAUUAGAUACCCCGGUAGUCCUGGCCCUAAACGAUGUCCACUAGGUCGGUGGUUCUCUGACGGAUUGCCGGCCGAAAUAAAAACAUUAAGUGGACCGCCUGGGGAGACGGUCGCAAGGCU